AGAGUGUUAAAUUACGCGAUCUUUUAACCGAAACCUCGUUUAAGAAAUCGUUAGAUCGAUUAAAAUUCCGAGGAGCUACAUUGGUAGUAAAUUUUACUACAAACUCUCUUAGUCUGUUAUCGUCUGAAUAGAGCGAGAUCAUUAAGAGCGUUAAUUUAAGAGGACGAAGAGCAACAAGAAUCGACGAUUUCUCAAACUAAUCCGGUAGUAGCUGGAUUGAUUAAUGGAACGACUGACGAUCCUUUUCAUCGAAACGGAUCCAUGGCAAUAGGAUUUUACAGGGGAAUACCGCUAUUGUUAGAGUGGCACGUGUAUGUACAUAGGGUAUUCCAAUCAUCCGCCGCAGUGAUCGGAAGAGAGCAGUAGACGUAAAUAAUGGUGUGCGAAAUUUUACGUUCGCACCAGAAAUAGAAUGUUUCUUGCCAACACCAGACGGAUCCGGCGAACAGGAACGUGUCUCGAUACGCCGAGAAAAGAAUAUUCCUCGAUGAGGAAAAGAUCGAGUCAUUGGGAAUAUCAUUUUAUUCGUCAUACCCCAAAUAUAAUUGAUUUUACUUUGAAAAA